AGAAGUCAGAACCCUAACAAAAACCUCUCCUUCCCUAAAAAAUAAAAGUAUAAAUUAAAUCCCUUCUCUUAUAUUUCUCAGAACCCGCUGUGAUUCUCUCUAUGAAGAGUAAGCGACGAUCGUCGGAAUUCAUGGCUAACAAUUCCGAUCCUCCUUCUCCUCUUGGCCAUAAUAUCAUCAAAGACAUCCUCUUAAGACUUCCGAUCAAAUCCAUUAAACGAUUUGAAUCCGUGUCCAAAGCCUGGUACUUGCUCUUCAAUUCCCAUAACUUCAUUUCCAACCAUUUCCGUCGCUCUUCCAGUGGGCCGUCUCUUCUGAUUCGCCGCUUCCACAAUCCAACUGGGUCUAACUUUUCUAUAAUCUUGAUGGAUAAUCGAACCUCAAUUCCUCGCGAGAUAAAGAUUCCGUUUCUGGGUUCUUUGAUUCGGUAUCCCAAGAUUAUUGAGUCUUGCAAUGGUAUUAUCUGUCUCGAUAUCUCUCCUUGCUAUGCCUCCGCUUUUGUGUUGUGGAAUAUUUCGACUAGGCAAUUCAUAGGUCUUCCUCGUCCAAGAAUCAAUGAUGCCCAUAAGCCAAUUUGGAUGGUCGCUACUGGAUUUGGGUAUAGUCGCGAAAGUAAUGAUUUUAAACUGGUAAGAGUUGUGAAUUUCCAUUGUAACGAAGAUGAUUCUCUUGUUGUGAGGGCUGAAGUCUACUCGUGGAGAACGGGUUCGUGGAUGCUAUUGGAUGGAAGAAUGAUCGAAGAAAGAAUGGGUUCUUGUGUGAUUCCUGAAGGCCAGCAAGCUGUGAUUGUGGAUGGAUCUAUGCAUUGGGUAGCUAAUGGGGUUGGGAAAUUGGCAAAUCACAAGUAUAUCGUCUCAUUCGAAAUGGGUAAUGAAGAAUUCAGAAGAAUAAAAAUCCUAGAUUAUCUUUCCAGUGAAAUUUGUGUUAAAGUUGUAGGAUUCAAAGAAUCACUUGCUUUGGCAUUGUAUCCUGCUUUGUCUGUUUAUCCUGGAUAUGGAAGACCCAUCAAUCGAAUGGAGUUGUGGACAUUGGAUAAAGAUUAUGCUUCUGAUGUUGAUGGUAAUUGCUGGACUAAACUCCAUACAAUAGACUUGAAUUCUUCUGGACUUAACCCAAUUGGUGUUCACAAUGAUUCUGAAUUGCUAGUCAAACGUAUGGAGGCACAUUGUGUUAGUCUAUCUUUUUUUGAUCCCGAUAACAAAGGCAUCAAGACCUUACCCAUUUGCAGUUCUGACUAUACAUGUGAGUUCUACAGUUAUGUGGACAGCUUGGUUCCAGUAGCAAAUGCAGGGUAUUUGGAAGUAGAAAAGACUCGCGAGUCUGAAAUAUAUUAGAUCUUAAGGCUCAUAUUGCUUAGUACGAUUCAGUUUUUAGGCUACAAGAAUUUGCUUGGGAAUUCAGGUCCUUUCCAUAUAUGAUAUUGUUAGUAGGAAUUAGUGCUAGUAUUUUACUUUUGAUUGUGAAUUGAUCCAAUUUGAGCCUAACAAGUUACCUACUUAUCUUUAUAUUGUUAGUUAAUGUGCAGUUGUCAUACUCUUUUGGUCUAUUUUUGGCUUCAUCCUAUAUAUAUAUGUCAUCUUUAUUUAAUGCAUUGUUUGAAUUUCUUGUUUUUUUUUCUUGAUUUGGG
rnacentral:misc_RNA from 1 species